CUCGGGUUAGGCAAGUGGUAUGUCGCCUGGUUUGGGACCAGGUCGUCGAGUGUUCGAUUCACUCACCCGAGA
rfam:Aeromonas phage phiAS5, complete genome.